CAAUAGCGUAUAUUAAAGUUGUUGCAGUUAAAAAGCUCGUAGUUGAACUUCAGACCUGGCCGGGCGGUCUGCCUAACGGUAUGUACUGUCUGGCUGGGUAUUACCUCUUGGUGAGCCGGCAUGCCCUUCACUGGGUGUGUCGGGGAACCAGGACUUUUACCUUGAGAAAAUUAGAGUGUUCAAAGCAGGCCUAUGCCUGAAUACAUUAGCAUGGAAUAAUAAAAUAGGACGUGCGGUUCUAUUUUGUUGGUUUCUAGAGUCGCCGUAAUGAUUAAUAGGGAUAGUUGGGGGCAUUAGUAUUCAGUUGCUAGAGGUGAAAUUCUUGGAUUUACUGAAGACUAACUACUGCGAAAGCAUUUGCCAAGGAUGUUUUCAUUAA
rnacentral:rRNA from 1 species